AUGGCUGACGACCCCAACGGGCCGCCAGUGGGCUGGCAGCACCAUGCCUUCGGCCCCAGCCUGCCCUCCCGUCCACCACCACCCGCCACACAGCAUGGGCAGAAAGACGAAUCUGUCGGAGCAGUCAAGAUAUGUGACUUCACCGAAGACCAGACCGCAGAGUUCAAGGAGGCCUUCCAGCUGUUUGACCGAACAGGUGAUGGCAAGAUCCUGUACAGCCAGUGUGGGGACGUGAUGAGGGCCCUGGGCCAGAACCCCACCAAUGCCGAGGUGCUCAAAGUCCUGGGGAACCCCAAGAGUGAUGAGAUGAAAUGUGAAGGUGCUGGACUUUGAGCACUUUCUGCCCAUGCUGCAGACAGUGGCCAAGGACAAGGACCAGGGCACCUUUGAGGAUUAUGUCGAAGAACUUCGGGUUUUUGACAAGGAAGGAAAUGGCACCGUCAUGGGUGCUAAAAUCUGGCAUGUUCUUGUCACACUGGGUGAAAAGAUGACAGAGGAAGAAGUAGAGAUGCUGGUGGCAGAGCACGAGGACAGCAAUGGUUGUAUCAACUACGAAGAGCUCGUCGCGUGGUGCUGA